UACGAAGGGGGCUAGCGUUGUUCGGAAUUACUGGGCGUAAAGCGCACGUAGGCGGGUUGUUAAGUCAGGGGUGAAAUCCUGGAGCUCAACUCCAGAACUGCCUUUGAUACUGGCAACCUAGAGACUGGAAGAGGUUAGUGGAAUUCCCAGUGUAGAGGUGAAAUUCGUAGAUAUUGGGAAGAACACCAGUGGCGAAGGCGGCUAACUGGUCCAGCACUGACGCUGAGGUGCGAAAGCGUGGGGAGCGAACAGG
rnacentral:rRNA from 1 species